UCAACGAGUUGAUAGCCUUAGCCAAUAGGUACGUUUAAUCUUUUAAAUAUUAUCGUGAUAUGGAUAGAUUAUUUCAAUUAUUGGUAUUCAAUGAGGAAUUCCUAGUAAGCACGAGUCAUCAGGUCACGUUGAUUAUGUCCCUACCCUUUGUACCCACCAACCAUUGCUCCUACCGAUUGAAUUAUCUGGUGAACUAUUCCGACCGUACAGACUUGUGUAGUUUGUUAUCACUCCAUGAGGCACUGUCUACAAUUAGGGAUAUUAGGGAAUGCAUCCCAAAUCAGCCAAUGAAUUCCAUCCAAGGUUAAAUAUGGGCAAGAGAAUGAUUCCUAACCAGUACUACAAUGUAAAGAUUAAAAGGUCUUUUAAAAGAGAGUCAAAAAGUGCUUGAAAUUAUUUUGAGGAAAGCGGAUGGGAGCCGGUGAUGCACCCCGAUCGAAUAUGGAAUGGCGAUGUGGAAAUACAUCGAUCGACUAAUGGAAUGGACCAUCAUGGAUUGGGGGCAUGUCCAAAUCCCAAGCGCUAGAUACCCUUGUGAAAUAUCAUCUCCUUAAUUGUGGCAGGUAGUGCGCGCCUCUGGUGUGCAUCGACAUCUGCAUGCUCCAAAUUUUUUCCUGUGGUCUCCCCAUUCAACCCAUCCUGAAAUACGGACCAAGGAUUCUGACAUGUGUGCAAGUCAAUGGGCGAGUAAGACUGUAAUAUGUAAAGAAGCAAUUUGGUGGGAUCUCCUUUAGGGGUGUACCACUGACCGACCUUGACCUUCUGAGAAGGGUUUGAGUGUGAGAAUACUUAUUGGGACCCAAGAGAUGGUGAACUAUUCCUUAGUAGGUAAAGCUAGAGAAAAAUCUGGUAGAGAAUCGUAGCGAUACUGGCGUGCAAAUCAUUCGUCCGAAAUAUGUAUAGGGACAAAAUACUAAUCGAACAAUUUAUCAACUAGUUCAAUCCAAUGUUUCCCUCAGGAUUGUUGGAGUUCGCGUGCAAGUUCAAUCAGGUAAAGCCAAUGAUUAGAGGCAUCAGGGGCCCAAUACACUUGACCUAUUCUCAAGAUUUAAAUAGGUAGGAUAGUGUAACAACUUUGUUGAGCCAUACCGUAGAAUCAAGAUCUCUAUGUUAGCCAUUUUUUGUAAGUAGACCUGGAAAUACUGGAUGACUCGAAAGUCAGUUUACGAUGCCAAACAACACGCUAACCUAGAUCCUACAAAGGUUGUUGGUCGACUAAGAUAGACAGUUGUCAUAGAAGUUUAAAUUCGCUAAGGAGUGUGUAAUGACUCACCUGACGAAUUAACUAGACCCAAAGACGUAAAGCACUUAAGGGGGCGACCUACACCCAACCGUCAGGGCAAGUGCCAGGCCCCUAUAAGUAUGAGGGUUCCGCGGUCGCUGCCAAACCUUGGGCACAAUCAUGGGUAGAGGGGUCAUCGAUGCAAAUCAUGGUAGUAGUAGAAAAUAUUCAAUUAGAAACUUAUAAGGACAAAAAGGAGAAAUAUUCCCCAGUAACUCAAUUUGCACAUGGAAUAGUCAAUUUUAAGGGUCAGGGAAACCCCAAAAGAUAGAGCAUUUGGCACAUACUCCAAAAGGGAAUCAUAUUAAAAUCCCUGAAUAGGGACUUGGUGGUCGACGGCAACAUUAGGAAGUUAGGAAGCAUCACAGGAUCCUUGAGAAGAGUUAUAUUUUCUAUUGAACUACCUGCUCACUAAGAAUUGGCUUAGUCGAAGGUAGUGUUCAGCGGCUAGAAGAGCACUACACAUCGCUUCGUGUUCGUUCCACUCCCAUAGGCACUUUAAAAUCUAGAGGACUAACAGUCAUACAUGACUAGUGGUACUCAUAACCGUAUCAAGUCUCCUAGGUGAAGAGCCUUUGGUCGAUGGAAUAAUGUAGUCAAGGAAAGUAGGAAAAAUGUAUUCGUAACUUUGGGAAAAUGAUUGGAGCUGAGGGUAUGGAAUGAGGUUUAUAGUCCCGAACACAUCAUAUAUAGAGGGACUGAUCGAGCUACAACUAUGGUAAAAGCGAGUCAACGCGUACUGGAUGGGUAACAGAACGGGAACGGUUCCUUCUAGCGACUUCCCCACGUGUCGAACAGCCAACUCAUAGUUGGUACAGACAAGGGGAAUCCUUUUGCUUAAUUAAAACAAGGAAUUGCAAUGGUCCCAAUUGAUGUUCAUACAAUGUGAUUUUUGCCCAGUGCUCCGAAUGUCAAAGUGAAGAAAUUCAAACAAGCGUGGGUAAACGGCUAGAGUAACUAUGACUCUCUUAAAGUAGUCAAAUACUUCAUCAUCUAUUUAGUUAUGUGCACAAUUAGAAUAAUAAGAUUCCCAGUGUCCCUGUCCAUGAUCCAGCAAACUACAGUCAAGUGAACGGGCAUGGCAGAAUCAACAGGUUAGAAGACCCUGUUGUGCUUAACCCUAGUCUGACUUUGUGAAAUGACUUUAGAGGUGUAGUAUAAGUGAGAAUCAAAAGUUGAAAGUGAAAUAGCACUGCUUUUAAUGUUAUUUUAGUUAUUUCGUAAAUUAUAAAUCGGACAUUGCCCCUCUUGUUUGAACCAAGGUUCGUUUUGUGGGACGAUUUGGGUAGAAGAUAUUGUCAGGUAGGGGGUUUGGUGGGGGUGGCACAUUUGUUAAAAGAUAAUGCAGAUAUCCUAAGAUGAGAUCAAUGAGAACAAAAAUUUUGUCUGGAAUAGAAAGGAAAAAUCUCAUUUGAUUCUAAUUUCUAAUACGAAUACGAAAUGUGAAAGUGUGGCAAAGGAUCCUUGAGUCCUUCAAAAUUUAAAGAUAGAGGUGCCAGAAAAGUUACCACAAGGAUAACUUUCUUGUCGAAGCAAAGCAUUCAUAGCGACAUUGCUUUUUGAUCCUUCGAUGUCCAUUCUUUCUACCUUUGUGAAGAUAAAUUCAUCAAGUGUUCGAUUGUUCACCCACAAAUAGGGAACAUGAGCUGGGUUUAGAAAAUCAUGACAUAGGUUUUCCUACCCUCCUGAUGAUAGUUUUCCAAUAGUAAUUUUGUCUAAUAUGAUAAAAACUGUUGAUUCACAUAAUUGGUUAUCGCACUUGUCUGAAUCUCAUGAUCCACUGAGAUUCAUCUAUUUCUCCCUCUGGUUUGUCCCACUCCCUCCAAUUUAAUCAUUUUUUGUCAAUCUCGAAAGGAGGUUUGUGCAUUCAUCCUCGAAAAAUCCCACUAACUGUUGUGACUUCACCUAAACCUCGAUCAUGCCGCAGUGAUAGCCUCACCCGAAUUUGAUGCUUAUUUUUCAAGUGUCGUAAAACUAUGAUAUUGCAAUUAGAUAUUUUUCAUGAUACACAGUAUGGCUUAAUAGCCCAGUGA
rnacentral:rRNA from 1 species